rnacentral:rRNA from 1 species
UAGGGAAUCUUCCACAAUGGACGCAAGUCUGAUGGAGCAACGCCGCGUGAGUGAAGAAGGUUUUCGGACCGUAAAGCUCUGUUGUUGGUGAAGAAGGAUAGAGGUAGUAACUGGCCUUUAUUUGACGGUAAUCAACCAGAAAGUCACGGCUAACUACGUGCCAGCAGCCGCGGUAAUACGUAGGUGGCAAGCGUUGUCCGGAUUUAUUGGGCGUAAAGCGAGCGCAGGCGGAAUGAAUAAGUCUGAUGUGAAAGCCCUCGGCUUAACCGAGGAAUUGCAUUGGAAACUGUUUUCUUGAGUGCAGAAGAGGAGAGUAGAACUCCAUGUGUAGCGGUGGAAAUGCGUAGAUAUAUGGAAGAAUACCAGUGGCGAAGGCGGCUCUCUGGUCUGCAACUGACGCUGAGGCUCGAAAGCAUGGGUAGCGAACAGGAUUAGAUACCCUGGUAGUCCAUGCCGUAAACGAUGAGUGCUAAGUGUUGGGAGGCUUCCGCCUCUCAGUGCUGCAGCUAACGCAUUAAGCACUCCGCC